rnacentral:lncRNA from 10 species
GCUUGCUACCUGAAUGAAUGAUCAGAAGCCGGAAAAAUCAGCUUUCAAAAGGAGCUUAGGAACAAGCAGGAGAGAAAAUCCCACCUCAAAGGAUCUGGAGAACUGGCCAGAGAUCACCCCAGAAGAGAGUACAGGAGCCAGGAUUUGGACGCAGGUCUCUCUGACUCAAAUCCUUUUCUCUUUCCCUUACUUCAUCCUCCCCCUCAUCUCCUGAAAAUUAGAAGCCGGAUCCUGGAAUACACACAGAAAACCCUCCACCCAUUUUAAGGAUACAUCAAGAUCAAAACUCAUUGAUAUUGUAAUCUUACUAGUUUGAACUUUAAAACAUUUUACUGCCA